GUAUUUAUUUUUGCGGUGGGAGGUGGGAAUAUUAAUUGCAUUUUAAAAAAUACGCAAGUAUAACGGUGUUAAGACCUAUCUUAACAAGUUUAGGUAUUAGAAUACCUAAAUACCUACUUACCUAAUCUAGAUAGAUUAAGUCUCUCUAUCGUCGGUAGGUGGCACCACCUAUGAAAUGUACCUAAUUAAGGUGACAUCUACCGAAACCUUGUGUACUUGCUAUCUAAGCUUAGCCAUAUCAAUGUAUGCAAUAGUUCAUAAACAAUCCAUAGUGUGGCGCUGUACGCGACUAUAUAAGCUUCUACAUGUGUGUAGAUUAAAUCACUUUUCUCAACUAGCCUUCUGUUAACAUUAAAUAUAACUAUUGUAAUUCUCUGCUUUGAUUCGGUCUCCAUCACCUCCAACGCUGAACAUAUGGUGACCCCUAGUUUAAAUCGCGGUUAAUCUUAGUAUUCACAAGCGAAUCGCUAGUAAAUUUAGUAUAAUUUGCAAGCCGGUACGUCGAAGAAUCGCCGCGUUUCCUGAUUUAGGCCGGGAGAGCAACGUUACCACGUAGGCAGCGACCGCGUGGGGCUCCGCCGACCUGAAGAAGCUAAAGAGGUGACUAGGAGGCGACCACACCACUCGAUCGAGCGGCCUGAGCCAACGCGAAAGGCGCCGACCGAGCCACCAAAGCGGAACCACGUGCGUGGCACGCGGCCCGCAGCAGGGAACGACGACCGCAACUACCAAAGGGACCACGUGGGUGGUACCACAUCCAAGGCAGAAGGAGUGCCCAAGCGAGGGCAAUCACCAAGUAACACCACGCGCACGAGCUUCAAUCGAGAAGGCAAGUGAGCUGGCAAUUCCUAACCUAUUUACCUAAUCUCCCUACCAAAUUUAAUUGUAAUCGUUUAAUCUCCCUACCAAUUGUAAAUUGUAAUCGUUUUCUUAAUCAUGAGUAAUGACACAGAAAAAUCCAAAAUAACUCUAGGGGAGUUAGAAAUUAAACAGUUAAAAUGUAAACGAGGUGUCUAUAAGCGAAAAUUAACUAUAUUUAAGAAAUUCAUAGAAAAUAUCGACACAAGCGCAUUGACGGCCGAAAUAAUUUUAGACGUAAGCUUAAGACUAGAUCAAUUACCAAAGUUAUACCAUGAUUUCUCUGAGACACAGGACCGGAUCGAGACACUGUGCAGCGAGGAAGGUGACAUCGAGGCCCAAGAGGCCGAACGAUUUCAAAAACUUUCUAAAGAACCGAGCUGACCGGCUGGAAGCGACCAGCCCAGCAGUACCAUCGGACGCACCCAGCACUUCCAAGAAGGCCAUGGUAACCACGUCCGAACCUAUUAAGGUAACCUCAAAACAGUUUAAAUCCAACCAGUGCCCGUAUUGUUCGAGUACACAUUAUAUUAAUCAGUGUCCAAAGUUUAUUGCAUUAAACGUUAUCGCGCGAAUCCGAGCCGUGAAUAAAUUACGAUUAUGCUUUAAUUGUUUGUCCGGAACGCAUGUCUUAACAAACUGCAGGGCCAGUACUUGUCGAGUAUGUAAGGGCAAGCAUCACACGUUACUACACAAACCAAAUACCAACACUCAUGUAGGUAGUAACCCCAUACCAACGCGAUUACCAAUAUCAACAUUAAUCGACGAACAACCGAGUUCUAGUCAAAUCGAGACUACCUUGUCGAAUAACACUAUAAUCGAAAAACAAAUAAACAAUGCGCGAAAUAGAUCAGUUUUCCUCACAACAGCCCAAGUGCUCGUUAGGGAUAAGCAUAACAAUGUGCAUAAACUAAAAGCAUUUUUAGACAAUGGCUCCCAAGAAAAUUUCAUUACCCAAAAUGCGGCAAAAAGGUUAAAAUUAAAUAAGGAACAAAAUGCCUUAAACGUCAUAGGUUUCAAUGAAAAAGUGUCUAGCGUCGUAGAAUCGUGUGACGUAACAUUGCAUUCCUUAGACGGUAACUUUACAACGAAUUUGUUCUGUUUUAUUACGCCUACAAUUUGUACUACCAAUAUCGAAAUACCAAACGUGCAACGUUGGCACAUUCCGUCGCGUUAUAAGUUAGCUGAUGACGAGUUUAACUUAGCUCAAGAUAUAGAUUUGCUUAUCGGUGGGGAGAUAUUCUUCGAUUUACUACUUACCGGUAAAUAUUCGCUCGGGCCCGGAUUACCGGUUCUGAGGCGCUCGCGACUGGGAUGGUUAGUCACGGGUCCCGUACAUAAAAAAUCCGAGUCUGCUAUUCAAUGUAAAAUUACAGUUGAAACGCAAUUAAAAAAGUUUUGGGAAAUAGAGGAGGGUUCCGCACCAAAUUUACCUUAUGAUGAAAAACAAUGUGAGGAUAUAUUUCUGAAAACUCACACUCACAACUCUGAAGGUAAUUUUGAAAUUGAACUUCCAUUAAAGCAACCACCUACCAAACUAGGUCGAUCUAGGCACAUAGCAUAUCGGAGGUUCAAAACUUUAGAAACCAAGUUCGAGCGGAACCCCGAAUUUAAAGAUAAAUAUGUGAAUUUCAUGCGCGAGUUCGAACAAGCUGGCCAUAUGAUUAAAUUACGAGAUAAUUAUGAUGGCCCAUGUAAUUUUCUACCCCACCAAGCGAUUUUUCGCGACUCCCCCUCUACCCCUAUUCGCAUUGUUUUUGACUGCUCAUGCCGCACCGAUAACGGCGUUUCUUUGAAUGAUAUCCAGUACAAAGGCUCAAUAAAACAGGACGAACUCAUAAAUAUACUUCUACGGUUCCGAAAGUACCAAUAUGUUAUUAAUGCCGACAUAACCAGUAUCAUAACAGGUCAUGGACUAUUUAACAAACAUCUUUUCACAACAGGUGUCACAGACAGUCCCCUAUGCCGAGGUUGCAUGGAGACAGAAGAAACAGCCUCUCACGUGGUGCUGGAAUGCAGCGGAGUGACUCCAUACAGGGCUAAACAUCUCGGAUCUCCGAGAGACCUCCCCGAGGUCCUACUCAACAUCAAAGGUUUGAUAGGAUUCCUCGAGGAGCUGGGCUGGCAGGACUAGCCCACCCCCAACAUAUCACGCAAAAUAGGCGCAAGUCGUCGAGUUGCGGAAAAAUCGCCCGAAUACAAUACAAUACAAUACAAUGCCGACAUACAAAAAAUGUACAGAUGUAUUUAUGUGAAACCAAAUCAACAAUACCUACAAUGCAUAUUUUGGCGGGAAAAUACUCACCAACGACUCCAAAUUUAUAUGCUGACCACAUUAAGUUUCGGCUUAAAGUCAGCACCACAUAUAGCAACCAGAUGUUUGUUACAAUUGUCAAACGAGAACCAACACACGUUUCCAGCAGCUGCAGAGGCCAUAGCGAACCAGUUCUACAUGGACGAUUUUAUCGCCGGCGGCGACGACGAGAAUCAGGUAGCUGAAACUGCAACACAGGUGAACGAGAUCCUGCAGGGCGCCAACUUCACGCUGCGGAAAUGGAAGUCCAACUCCGAAGCUGUCAUAAAUCGGGUGAGCGGAACACACACACACACCAAAACACAUCUGCAAUCGAAUUUGGAGAUAAAACACAUAAGGUUCUAGGCUUAGCGUGGUCUAGUGACACAGAUAAGCUUAUGUAUACUAUUAAAGAAAACCAAAUUUCACACCCAAUCACCAAAAGAAAGGUACUAGGGGUAAUUUCGUCCAUUUUCGACCCCCUAGGCUUGACGGGACCAGUAAUUGUAGUAGCCAAAAUAUUUAUCCAAAAAUUAUUUAAGGCUCAAUUAGAUUGGGAUACCGAAUUAACACAAGACUUGAUUCAAGAAUGGAACACAUUCUAUCGAGACUUGUUUUUAUUAAACCAAUUGAAAAUUUCGAGAUGUACAGUCAUACCUAAUUAUGUAACGAUACAAAUUCAUGGGUUCUGUGAUAGUAGUAUUAAAGCUUAUGGCGCUGCUAUAUAUAUACGGUCGAGCGAUAGGGUAGGAAACAUUCAAGUUCACCUACUUUACUCAAAAUCCAAAAUUGCCCCAAUUACGUCCCAGACUAUUCCAAAUUUGGAACUUUGUUCAAGUCUACUACUCGCGACACAUGUAGACAAAGUAAAACGAGCGUUAAAAUGUGACAUUUCCAGAAUCAACCUGUGGUCAGAUUCAAAAAUAACAUUAUGUUGGAUUAAAAAUAGUAACCUUAAAUUAACUUGUUUUGUUAGUAACAGAGUCACAAAAAUAUUGUCACUUACAAACAAGCACGACUGGUCCUGGGUCCGCUCGGAGGAUAACCCCGCCGACCUUUUGUCCCGAGGAGUAGCACCAGGCAAGCUGGAAAACAACCAGUUAUGGUGGUCCGGGCCGGCGUGGUUAACUCAAAGUUCGGACACAUGGCCGACCCAGGAUUCUGAGUCACUGGAUCAUGCACCCGAAGCCAAGAGCGACGUUGAUGUAACACUCACCUUGGCUAUUAACACAAAAUCUAACGAUACGAUACAAUAUCUUUUCCACAGGUGGUCAAGCGAUAAAACACUUAUUCAUGUAUUAGCAUACAUACUUCGAUUUAUAUAUAACACAAAAAAUAAAACACGCACAAUUAAUCCAAAUAGAAAGUUAACAGGACCAUUGUCCGUAGACGAGUUAAAAAAAUCGGAUCACACAUUAAUUAGACAUGCACAAAUGCAAUCAUUCCCACACGAAUAUAAAUUGUUGCAAAACAACAAACCGGUUCUUAACAAAUCAAAAAUAUUAUCUUUACACCCAUUCAUGAAGGACGGACUCAUUCGCGUAGGCGGACGAAUCGCUCUUUCACAUUAUGCAUAUGAAAAAAAACACCCUUUAAUAUUAAGUCACGAACACACGCUUACCAAACUACUGAUGGCAAACGCACACAUACGUACUUUGCACGCUGGCCCUCAGUUAUUACUCUCAACUAUUCGCGAGCGCAUCUGGCCAACAAAGGGUAGAAUGUUAGCCUCGAAAAUUGUAAAUAAAUGCGUUCCGUGUUUUAGAGCAAAUCCAAAGACUACUAACCCUAUAAUGGGAAACUUACCCCCCUCGAGGGUAAACCCGUCUCCCCCAUUUGCUAUCACUGGUAUAGAUUAUGGAGGACCUUAUAACAUUAGAGAUAGGACAGGACGUGGUUACAAGGUCUAUAAGUGCUAUAUAGCAGUAUUUAUUUGUUUUGCAACAAAGGCAAUUCAUCUCGAAUUAAUUACAGGGCUCGAGUCGGCUAAUUUCCUGGCGGCGCUGCGACGUUUCAUAGCCAGGAGAGGUAAACCGAAGGAGUUGGACUUCUGGCGGCGCUGGUCACGUGACUACAUCGGAACGCUGCAGGAACGCACGAAAUGGAGGAGCGCGCGCGGCCCAAGCCUCGCAGCCGGCACCGUCGUCCUGGUACGAGAGGAACGCCUGCCCCCCUGCCGGUGGAGGCUGGGCAAGAUCGUCGCGACGCAGCCGGGGCGGGAUGGCGUCACCAGGGUAGCCAUCAUCCGAACCACCAGAGGAGACAUCCAACGCGCGUUCAAUAACAUUUGUCCAUUACCUACUUCGGGUCAAGUUAUAUAAAUAGUAAAUACCUACCAACCUAAUGUAACAUUCAAACAAUUAUAAUUAAGUACCUAAUAAGUAUGAUUAAGUACCUUAAAUACCUUACUUACCUAAUACCUAUGUAUAGAAUUAGAAUACCUACUCCCUAUUUAAAAUAAAAAACAUGUC